CAGCAGCCGCGGUAAUACGUAGGGUGCAAGCGUUAAUCGGAAUUACUGGGCGUAAAGCGCGCGUAGGUGGUUCGCCAAGUUGGAUGUGAAAUCCCCGGGCUCAACCUGGGAACUGCAUCCAAAACUGGCGAGCUAGAGUAUGGUAGAGGGUGGUGGAAUUUCCUGUGUAGCGGUGAAAUGCGUAGAUAUAGGAAGGAACAUCAGUGGCGAAGGCGACCACCUGGACUGAUACUGACACUGAGGUGCGAAAGCGUGGGGAGCAAACAGGAUUAGAUACCCCUGUAGUCCCUGUCUCUUAUAC
rnacentral:rRNA from 1 species